ACAGUGUCUCCUUUGAAAAUUGCAUAAACGGGGAAGCAACAAAGUAUAAAUAGAUAUCAUGAUAAGAAAAUAUAAUAGACAUUAAUAAUCUGCUAGCAAUGGGAAGACGACCAUAACGACAUGAACUGAAUUAACCAGUGCGCACGACUAGUUAAAAACAAACAUCCUUUGACAAGAAGUUUCUAAUUAAAUCAUGACUGCGCCUGGGCAGCAUUAUUAUGAGAGUGAAGGUGUAUGUGCUGCUACUUCCCACUCCCCUUGAUGAGCAACAAGCACCUGCAUUGAGUAAUGCAAGAGUGAGAUGAAACAUCUCAGCAAGCUAAUUGUUUUGACGAGAUAUUUAAACCACAUUGAAUUAAUCAACAUUUCAAAAGAAUCACAAUCAAGAUCAGAAAUACUUGUAGAUAUAGAACUCAGUAGUCACAAUAUAACCAAUACCAUCUCAUUUCCUCGAACAACCACAAUAGGUUGUAUAACACUUCCCUGCAUCAACAAUACCUGCAAAUAUCACUUCAAUGUAUGCAUAGGAAUGCAAUGUGUAGGUCAUCUAUCUUCAUACCUCUGAGGGUAUAAAACCACAUCAUCUGCAAAUAUCACUUCAAUGUAUGCAUAUGAAUGCAAUGCAUAUGUCCUCUGCCUUCAUACCUCUAAGGGUAUGAAGCUGCAUCGUACCCCUUCUCGGGCAACGUACGAUGCUAAGUUGUACCGGUACGGUCGGACCAUAGGUCACGACAAAACUUCAGAUGCAAAUGAGUCAUGCAAUGUAUAUGGCAUGCUGCAUUUAUCAAUAAAUUUCACUUCCUUUAGAUACAAUACAAACCUCAAAUAAUACUUUAUCUGCCUUCAGAUACAAUGCAAUCCUCAAAUAAUACUUCGUAUGCCUUUAGAUACAAUGCAAACCUCAAAUAAGACUUCAUCUGCCUUCAGGGGUGUGAAUUAAUCUCAUGGGUCAUACUUGAACCAUAAUAAUCAUCAAUAUAUGAUAGAGCAUCAACAUAAUACAAUCAAGUAAAACAUCAUCAUAGAGUUCAAUUAUGAAAGAAUCCAAUAAUUCUGCAUAUUAGAGUGUAGGUGAUAGAAAUAACAAGUCAAAACGAUAGCAACCACCGCUACAUUCACUUGCCUUCAUCGAAGAAGAAAAAUGUACUAGGCAUGAUCUGGAGUGUAGCCACCUGCUAGCGGGCAUAAAACUUAGUACAAAUAUUUCACAAACAUUUGCCAACAAUCAACAAAACACUCCUACACUUCAAACCAAGACCUAGUGGAAAGACUCCCACCCUGAACCACAUGCUAUACAGCAGCAGCGCUGUUUGUUAAUUUUGUAUCUUUAAAAUUAAAACAUUGGUGAUAUCAAACAAAUACUCUAAGAGUAUCUACACAAAAAAAUCUACAACUUCGGUAUUCAAUGGAUAAUUAAAUUCUGCCAUCAAUAUAUUCUAAAACAUCUGACAAGAUAACUGACUGAAUUUGUUUUAGACAGCAGCCUAGUUAACUUCAAAAUUCGAUAUCUCCCAAACUACUAAACCAAAAAUUAUGAAAUUCUGCUGGAAGUAAGAACUUUUAUCCCUCUACAAAAGUCUCCACAGUUGGAAGAGCCAAUUCGGCCAUUUACUAGAUGAAACCCACCAGUGAACAGACCCACUCAUUUUUGUCAGGCAAACAGGAACAGCCACAGUAAAACAAACAUAACUGGAGUUUUAUAAAUCAUAUGAAUACACUCUUUAACAAUCUGGAAAGCUUAUGAAAUUAUCUACAACUUCUUUUACCAACCCACAGUUUAAUUCUGUUGAUAAAAUUGCCUAACUCUUAAGAGAACAGAUUCUGCACAGAAUUAUGAGACUGAAAAACUGCUAUAAUCAAACUGCAAUAACUUUCUGUUCUGAUGUCCGAUUGAGGUGUUCUUCAUGGCCACGGAAAGAUCUACAAAUUAUCUACGACUCAUAUAUAGACGUUUUAUUUUUUUGAGGCCACUAAGACCACAGAAAACUGACAUGAACAGAAACUGUCGAAUCUGCCAUUCUGCAGAAAUUAAAUUCUAGAUCAAAACCUAACCCCACAUCUAAUCCAACCUCUAAUCCUUCAAUCCACAUGAUCCACAACCUCCAAAAGCAUAUAAUUAUAGGAAGGAACAAGGAUCCUAUCCUUACCUAGGGUUUCCCCAAGAAAAUCUGCAAGAGAUGGGGGUAGAACAUCUCCUUGAUCCUCUCUUCCUCUUCAAUCCAUCUUGCUCCUCCUCUUCUCGAUCCUUGCUGCGUGGGGGAGAUCUAGAGGGAGGAGGAAGUAGUGGAGGGUGGCUGCAAGGGGAAGGGGGAGGGGCGGCCAAGGGUGGGGAAAAGGG
rnacentral:lncRNA from 1 species